CCCGCACAAGCGGUAGAGCAUGUGGUUUAAUUCGAUGCAACGCGAAGAACCUUACCUGGGCUUGACAUCCCAAGAAUCCCCUGGAAACAGGGAGUGCCCUUCGGGAGCUUGGAGACAGGUGCUGCAUGGCUGUCGUCAGCUCGUGUCGUGAGAUGUUGGGUUAAGUCCCGCAACGAGCGCAACCCUUGCCUUUAGUUGCCAUCAUUCAGCUGGGCACUCUAGAGGGACUGCCGGUGUCAAACCGGAGGAAGGUGGGGAUGACGUCAGGUCCUCAUGGCCUUUAUGCCCAGGGCUACACACGUGCUACAAUGGCCGGUACAGACGGAGGCGAAGCCGCGAGGCGGAGCAAAACCGAAAAAGCCGGUCUCAGUUCGGAUUGCAGGCUGCAAUUCGCCUGCAUGAAGUCGGAAUCGCUAGUAAUCGCAGGUCAGCAUACUGCGGUGAAUACGUUCCCGGGCCUU
rnacentral:rRNA from 1 species